GAUACUUAAGUCGGGAAGGGUUUUGGAAUAACAUUAGAAAAUAAAAAAUAUAAGAAAAAGAUUAGUAUGUAAUAUUGUCUUUUUCUGAUUGGCCUCCUCUAGUCGGCCUCGGGCUCCUCACCUCGGUCGCUGGCUUCUCACCUAGGUCAUGGGCUCCUUACCUUUGCCUUCUCAUCUCAGCCUCGGCUUUUACCUUACCUCGACCUUAGCCUUCAUCUUGGCCUCGGCCUUCUCUCCAGCAUUGGCAGCUCAUAGACCUACUGAGCUGCAAGAAAGAAAAGCAGACAAUGGAUCAGGACUUGAGAGCCUCUCACCAUAAGAUCUUUGAGCUAUGAGAAUUUCUAGCUAUAAGAGCUCCUCCCUUUGAGGUCCCUUGGACUUGUUUAUAUAAGCGAAGGAGCAUGAGUGUGUUAUAGUUGGAGGCAAAAAUCAAGAGAUGAGCUAUAACUCCUUCCUUAUGAGCUAUGACCAUCAUUCUGUUUCUAGAUCUUCUUAAUUGUAGAGUUGUAACUACUCCAAAAUCAAUUUUUUUCAAAAUUGCUUGCCACCUGUCUAUCCAUGAUACGGAUGUUGGUCCUAUGCCAUAUUAACAAAUAUUUUUACAGAAAAGGUUGAUUAGAACCUACUCUACCGAAUUUCAAGUUAAAUCUAAUCAAUCCUAAUUGGAUGGAUUUUUGACGCCAAUGAGAAACAAUUCGAUAUAUUUUUUAUCUCUAAAUAGAAAAAUUAUAUAAUUUGGAUACUCCAAAUCUAUACAUAAAAUUUUAGAAAAAAAAGAUAAUUUAAAUAAGAUGAAAUAAUGUAUAUCUUUUAACCACUUGAUUCAUAGGCUAGAGGUUCCUAAAUCAUAUGAUAUUUGAUAUUUAAGUGCUUAGACAUAAUAGAUAAUGUCUACUAGCUUGGAUUAUAGGUAUCAAACCCUUAUCAUCCGACUAGCACUGACUGAGACUGACUUAAAAUUUGGUCAAUCGGAUUCUAGUUCACUUCUUUUUACCAAUGUUGCUAGUAUUCAGGUAAUAUUUUUAUAAUCUUAGGCCAAAUAGAUUUUUAAAACCUAAUCCCCAAUCUCCAAGCCAUAGUACACUAGGUCAUCGACUACUCCAAAAUAAUUAAAAGUCACUAAUACACACAAAUAUGUGCUUUUCACUAUCUCAUCACCUUUACAUCCAUAAUACCUAUCCUACUUGUUGCUAGAAUUUGGACUCGGUGGCGACCGCGGACCGAGGUGGAGGAGCUCCGGCUGGUGGUACGACGGCUGAUGGCUGUCUCCGGCGGACCUGCAAGAAGCCUGCGGGCUGGGGGUUCCAGCGCAGGCCCUCCAAUGCUUAAGUUAGAGGGAAUUUUUAAUGGAGAGGGAUAAUAAUGAGAAGUAACAGAGAGAAGUGAUGGCCCGGGAAGGAAGCCCAAAAGUCCCCUACCUAGAGCUCUCCCCCCAUUUUAUAGUAGGGGAUGUAGCAGUUAUUUGUGAUCGGGCGUGAUUACGCGAAUCAAUGAGUUACCAUAAACGAUUCGAGAUUUCGGGCUAGCUGGCGAUCCGUUGAGAUCAUGUGUAUUCAAAUGUUGACAGCCGUUAAGGUAGAGAUCGCGGGAUUUGAUCUCGAAGAUGGAGGGCUUGAUUUUCGGUGUAGUGGGGAGGUUUACGUCUUCCUUUGACUGGGGCUUUCUUGGCCAUGAGGUCGAUCGGGCUCAACUCUGCCGAGACCGUGCCUGCCAAGGUCAUGCCGAGAUCGAGGUUGUGAGCUCUGUGGUUGUCGAUGCCAAGACCGAGCGCUUUGAGGUCGGGCAUUCUGAGGUCGGGCGCUUUGAGGUCGUGAUUGCCGAGAGUAUGGUUGCUGUCGUCACAUUCGUCAUCGAGUGCCAGCGAUUUGACCACGUGCUUGGAGUGGUCCAUUUUUCUCCCAACAUUACUCCCCGACUUCCAAGUUCGAGCCAUUUUCGAGCGCGGGCGAAGGUAGUAGCUAUUUCUGUCGUGUCGGCGAGAUCAGGCGGCUUUAAAUUGUUCCGCUGUUUUGAGUGCUUUAGGACGUCUUCAAUGAUAACACGAGGCGGCGGCUUUUUGCUUUUCGAGGAGGUUUCGAGCCGUGGGUUCAUGAUGAGGCUCCAGUGUCCAACGAGACGCCGCUUCAAUUUUGCUUUUAAAGCGCCGAUCCAAGUUGAUACGUUGCUUCGGUUUCUAAGGUCAACAUGUGGCGUGAUCUGGAUGGGAGGCGCGGUUUGUCCUUGUCGAUCUGAAUCGUUGGAAGGGUCUAUAUACACCCUUGGCCUGGCCCUAAAAGCCUUUAUUUAGCCACCGUAGCUCUUGUCUUCUUCCUCUUUUGCUUUCUUCUUCUCCCGAUCAUUACUUAGCUUUCUUCGAGGGUGCUUCAAGGCGUUCUUUGGUGAUUCCCCUUGGUUCUUUGCUUUUGACCAUUAGCCUUUUCAGCGAGGUCCAUGGUAGGUUUUUCUUUUCAUGUUCGCUCGGAGGAUUGUCAGUCUUUCUUCUCUGUUCCUCCAUUUUUCUUCUUUUCUUCUUUUUAGUACUGUGAGUGAGACAAUGUCAAACAGCAAUUCUUCCUUUGCGGGGGCUUCUCCUUCUCGGGGGAAGGAGCUUGGGCCUGAGGUGAGCAAUGGUCCAGAUGGGAUCGGGUCGAGCUUGUCCAGAGAAGAAUUGGGCACGAUUUGGACCCAGUUCUUCUUUCCGUGCAAAUUCGAGCUCGAAUUCGCAGGGUUGUGGGACCGAGUUACUAGGCCCCCUCCCGGUCGGGUCGCAGUGUAUGUGGAGACACUUCGAGCCGGCCUGAGAAGUCCCCUGCACGAGUUCAUGAGCGAGCUCCUGGAGAAGUAUCGCCUCGUCCCAGCGCAGCUCGCUCCGAACUUAUGGAGGAUAAUAAUUGGUUUUUUAUCCCUCGCCUUGCUCAUGGCAUACCGACCUCGGUCAAUAUCUUCCGUGGAUGUUAUAUGCUGAAGUUUAACCCCGCGGAUGUAGGGUGGCUAUACUUUGCCCUUCGAGAAGGUAGGCCGCUGUUCCGAGGUGCUCCUACCUUCAUCCGUGGAUGGAAGGAGAAAUUCUUCUUUUUUCCUCCGAGCGUCCGUGGGGGUUUAACCCGUCGUGGGGCCAGCCUAUAGUCAAGGCCAACAAUAGGGUCCCCGAGCUGACCAUGAGCGAGUAGAAGAUCCUUGAGGCUCUUUGCGGUCUGAAGGGGGAUAUCUCUCUGAACGACCUCCUGAGCGAGGAGGCCCUAGUAAAUGUCGGCUUGAGCUCGGCGAGCCUUGAGAGUAAGGGCGGUUGUACCACUUAUCCCUUUUUCAUCGUCCUUCAUUUUAUUUAUUUUCUCUUAUUCUUUUUUCCUUUCCUCUUUUUUUGGUGUCGGUCUGACACUUGAGUUCUUUCUUCCUUUCAGACAUUGUAGGGAUGGUGUCUAGUAAUGCGCCUCUCCUCGCCAGGUACAAGAAGAGGGCAGCCAAAGCCGGCGGAGCUCACCCCAUGCCCAAGAAGAAGGCUAAGCCGGUAUCGAGGUUAAGGACCUCGAAGCUGAGAUUUCCAAGCUCGUUCGGAAAAACAGCAAGAAGAAGACUGGGGAGCGCAAACCGGAGGAAGCUCCCCUCGUCGAGCGCGCAACUUCAUCCGGGGCUGCAAGAGAUCCAGCGACCCCAGCGUGCUCGACCCCGAUUUCUCAGCGACCCCGCUAGGUCAUCCGCUUGCGGCGCUCGGGUCCCGAGCCGGGCAGCGAUCUCGGGGUCCCGAGCUCUUCUCAUCGUUCUGUGCCGAGCUCUUCAAGACCAAGCCUCCCGAGCUCUUCAAGGGUCAACCUCUCGAGAUCGUCGAAGACUGGGGGCUGCUCUGAAAGGAGGCCCUUCUGCCCGGAGUGGUCGGUCUACAGGAUGACUCGGCCCUCCAUAAUAGUGACGUCGCGCGCGAGGUUGUUCGCUGCGCGUUGCUUCCAGCUGACCGUGCCGAGCUCGAAGCUGGAGGUUGUUCGCUGCGCGAGGUUGUUCGCUGCACAUUGCUUCCAGUUGACCAAGCUUACUGCUCCGCCGUCCGAGUAAGUUGUCUUCCUGCUUUGGUUUUCAUAUUCUUCUAAGUUUUCGAUCUCGGCUCACUUUCAUUUUCUUUUCCACAGCACCUCCAUGAGAUUGACAUGCUGGUCGCCGUGGAGGCCGAGUGCCAGCAUCAGGCUCAGAGGAGCCAGAAGGGGCAGGAGGACGCCGAGAGGAAGCUCGGUGAGGCCGAGGCCGAGCGAAGGAGGCCACUGCGAGAAUGGAGGCUGCUGAGGCCGAGUUUCGAUCCAAGGCCGAGCACUUUGAUGAGGAAGAGGCCUCACAAGCUCUGACCAGGUCAGAGCUUCGUGCCUCUGAGGCAUGUUUGGUUGACGCUCGCUCUGAGCUCGUCGGCCUAAAAUAUGAGGCGGGGGUCCUUCGAUUGAAGAUCGAGCAACUUGAAGCUUGAGAGAAGAAGGCGCUGGAGCAGGCUCGGAAUGCGGUGCAGAUCUUCCGUGAGUCAGACGAAUUUCGGGAGCUGCUAGAGGAGGAGGCGGUUGAUGGGCACAUCCGUGGCAUCGAAGAUUUCCGGAGGCAGAUGCUGAGGAUUUGCCCCAAGCUCGACCUCCAUAGUCUUCAGCCUCGUCUAGGGGUCGUUGUGGAUGACAUCGAACCCGGAAGUCCUAAGGAUGAGGGCGCGCUCGAUAGUACGCAUGAGAAACCCGAAGGCGAGCCUGAGCUACAGCCACCGAGAUCGAGAUCGGGGGGGCUGAGCAGGUUGCUCGCGAGGCCCCAUUUGGAGAAGCCGCCGAAGGUGCUCAUGAACAAGCUUCUGAAGCUGCUCCUGAGGCCGCACACGAAGUUUCACCUGAGGUCGCAACGUGAGGAUGAUAGUGUUAUUUCGAUGAUUAACACAACAAUUAAGGGAACAUCAAAUUAAAAAUACAGUUUAACAUGAUAUAUCACUAAUAAAUACGACACCCUCGAUACAUUCAUAAUAUAUUGAGAGAAUGAGAUCAAGACGACUUCUAAUGAUUAACAACGAGAUAAAAUUUAUAGUAAAAAAAUGAUAGAGAGCUUUUAAAUCUAAUUUAGUAAAGUUUCAAGUGAAAUAUCAAUAAAAAAAGAAUUAUUGUAAUAUCAUUUGGAAUGGUGCUGCUGUAAUGAAUGGAACUCUGAGUAAUGGCAUUUACAUUUUGUCACAGCCUGUUCAUGUAAUGUACAAGUCCAAUAAGCGCCCUAGAAUAGAUAAUGUCAUGGAUGUCUAUCUUUGGCAUCAUAGGCUAGGACAUAUUAACAAGAAUAGGAUGAACAGGUUAAGUAAAGAGGAAAUCCUCGAUGUUAAUGAUUGUGAAUCAUUGACAACCUGUGAAUUAUGUCUUCUUGGUAAAAUGACCAAAUCACCUUUUACCGGAAAAGGUGAACGAGCCAGUGACUUAUUGACCCUUGUACAUUCUGAUGUUUGUGGGCUAAUGAGCACAAAUGCUAGAGGUGGGUAUUCAUAUUUUAUUACGUUUACAGACGACCUUUCUAGGUAUGGUUAUGUCUAUUUAAUGAGACAUAAAUCUGAAUCAUUUGAAAUGUUCAAAUUAUAUCGUAAUGAAGUAGAAAAACAAACUGAAAAGAGUAUUAAAAUUUUUCGAUCAGAUCGAGGAGGUGAAUACCUCACCAGUGAGUUUUUGACAUAUCUAGAAGAAAAUGGGAUUCUCUCUCAAUGGACUCCUCCUGGUACACCACAGUAUAACGGUAUAUCAGAAAGGAGAAAUCGAACUAUGUUAGACAUGGUUCGAUCCAUAAUGGGGUUUGCUGAUCUACCAUAUCCUUUUGGGGAUAUACUCUUGAGUCAGGCUACAUGGUUCGAUCCAUGAUGGGGUUUGCUGAUCUGCCAUAUCCUUUUGGGGAUAUACUCUUGAGUCAGCCUGCUACAUUCUAAAUAAGGUUUCAAGUAAGUCUGUAAAUAAAAUACCACAUGAGAUGGACUGGACGUAAGCCGAUGCUCUCUCACCUUAGGAUUUGGGGGUGUCCAGCGUACGUUAAAUGUUUGACGACAGACAAACUUGAACCCAAGUCUGACAGAUGUUUCUUUGUUGGUUAUCCUAAAGAAACUAAAGGAUAUUACUUCUACUUUGCUGAAGAACAAAAGUUGUUUGUAAGCAACAGAAAUAUUUUCUUAGAGAAAGAAUUUCUUAGUGAAGGAACUAAAAGCUCUAAUGUUGAGCUUAGGAAAGUUCAACAUGUAGAAGAUCCGACACCAUCCACUGAACCAAUUGAGUCGGAUUUGAUUAGAUCAGAUCCAGAACCCAUCUUAGAUGCACCAUUAAGGCGAUCAGGUAGAGUACCACGUCAGCCGGACAGAUACUACGGUUUCUUGGUCCGGAACGGGGAUCCUGUCGAACUUGAUGAAAACGAUGAGGAUCUGAUCACCUACAUGGAUGCGAUGCAGAGGUAUGACUCUGAUGCAUGGCUUGGAGCCAUGCAAUCCAAAAUGGAAUCCAUGAAGGUCAAUGAUGUAUGGACAUUAGUUGACCCACCUGAAGGAAUUAAACCCAUGGGUGUAAGUGGAUUUUCAAAAAGAAACGGGGCGCAGACGGAAAGGUAGAGACCUAUAAAGCCCGUCUAGUUGCCAAAGGAUAUCGUCAACGUUAUGGUCUUGACUAUGACGAAACGUUUUCUCCUGUGGAAAUGCUCAAAUCCAUUCGGAUUAUGCUUGCGAUAGCAGCACACUUAGAUUAUGAAAUCUGGCAAAUGGAUGUAAAGACUGCUUUUCUAGAAGAUUUAGAAGAGGAGGUGUAUAUGAUGCAACCUGAAGGUUUUAUAUCUGCAGAUGAGUCUAAGGUGUGCAAGCUUCAAAAAUCCAUUUAUGGAUUAAAGCAAGCUUCACGGAGUUGGAACAUACGAUUUGAUAAGGUGAUCAAAUCGUAUGGCUUCAUUAAGAAUGAAGAGGAACCUUGCAUUUAUAAAUGGGCAAAUGAAUCAGUUAUCAUAUUUCUUGUUUUAUAUGUGGAUGACAUUCUUUUAAUCGGAAAUGACAUUCCUGCAAUACAAGGAAUAAUGGUUUGGCUAUCAUAUCUCAAUUUGCCAUGAAGGAUUUGGGAGAAGCAUCUUACAUCCUAGGGAUGAAGAUCUACAGAGAUAGAUCUAGAAGAUUGCUUGGAUUAUCCCAAUCCACAUACAUUGAUACUAUACUGAAAAGGUUCAGUAUGAUUAAUUCCAAGAAAGGCUAUCUUCCAAUGGACCAUGGAAUUAACCUCUCUAAAAGGGAUUGUCCGACAACCUCUCAAGAAAGAGAGAGUAUGGAUAGAAUUCCAUAUGUUUCGGCAGUGGGAUCUAUAAUGUAUGCCAUAACAUGUACUAGACCAGACGUGGCAUACUCACUAGGAGUAGUGAGCAGAUACUAGUCUGAUCCAGGUAGCAACCACUGGAAGGUUGUAAAAACCAUCCUUAAGUAUUUAAGAAAUACUAAAGAUCAGUGGCUUGUCUACGGUGAUUCUGACUUAAAACUUGAGGGAUAUACUGAUUCAAGUUUUCAGUCAGAUCAAGAUGAUAGCAAGAGCGUGUCAGGAUAUAUCUUCACUCUUAAGGGUGGGGCCAUCUNNNNNNNNNNNNNNNNNNNNNNNNNNNNNNNNNNNNNNNNNNNNNNNNNNNNNNNNNNNNNNNNNNNNNNNNNNNNNNNNNAAGCCGUAUGGUUGCGCAAGUUCAUCACCGAGCUGGGAGUGGCACCUUCCAUUGAUGGUCCAGUUCCUAUAUUUUGUGAUAACACUGGAGCCAUAGCUCAGGCAAAGGAACCUAAAGCACAUCAGCGGACCAAGUAUAUUCUACGAUGCUAUCACCUGGUUCGAGAGAUUAUAGAACGAGGUGAUAUUGAUCUUCAGAAAAUUGACACAAAAGAAAAUCCGGCUGACCCAUUUACCAAAGUCCUCGGCAUCAAAGAGUUCAACGAACACAAGUCGAAGAUGGGUAUUAGAUACUGUGCCGAUUGGCUUUAGGCUAAGUGGGAGUUGUUGGAAAUUGUAUCCUAAAUGUCAAUCAUCAGCAUAUUGAUGAUUGAAUUUUGUAAAUGAAUUGACAAAUUAAUAAAGUAUUAUUUGACAUUAUUCAUCAUUUCAUCUUCAAAUGAACUCUUAUAUGAUGAAGUCCUUAGGACUUAUGUUAUGAUAAAGGAGGAUUUAUCUUUGAGUCCUUAAACUUGUUCGCGACCAAAUGAUACGUUGUUACUAGGACGACAACAUUAUCGAGAUUAGGUCGUUGUGUGAUAUAUACGUUGGUUGUCUUCUUAACCAAGGAGUGUGGAGACGCUGGUAUGCCAUACAGGUGAAGUGUAGGAGUACAUUUCACUGAACGUGACCAAAUCCGGAACGCUCUACUAUCAAGAGACGUUCCGAGUGGAUAUGGGUAUAAGUUUGGCCCUCUGACCUGAGAUCGCAACCUGUGACUAGCAAGCAACUCACUGUACUUUGGUACCGGACUAUCUGAAUUUCUAAUUCAGUGACGGAAGGUCACUGAGUGCAGUCAAGUACUUGGUAGUCAGUUGUGAGUCGAGAUAGAAUUGACCACUCCUGGAAACAGGAGAUAAUGUCUUGUGAUUAAUUUAGGAAAAUCUUGGCCAGGGUAAUUCCAGUGAGGAGUCACGGGAUAUCUAAAGUUAAUCAUAUAAUGGAUGUACUAAUUAUAGGUUUGACAGUGAGCUCUAAGUCAUCCUGGCAUUAGGAGUCAAAGGGAUUGAAUUAUACAGUAACCAUAGUCCAGGGUUCCAGAAUAUUUGCUUCGCAUAUAUUCGGCCUAUCCGGACGUCGGGUACCAUUGCUAGAUGGUCACAUCGAUUAGUAUAGGAAGAUGUUCCUAUACUACCGGCUUAGGUUCGAACCUAUGAGGUCACACGCAUAGAAGUUUCUAGGUUGAUCAAAUAGCUGAUUGAUGAUUAAGAAUCAUUCAGGGGUAAUUUGGUCAAUUCGAUUGACAAAUUAUCCUAAGCAAAAGUUGCAUUAAAAUAAUUAUUAAAUUAUUGGAGGAUUAAUUAGCAAUUAUAUUGCUAAUGAACUCAAUUUGAUUGAGUAAUUGGGCUUAGGUUGAGCCAAAUUGAAUAGGAUUCAAUUUGGGCUGCAUCAGGAUUUGACCUAAUUGGAUUGGGUUCAACCCAAGUAGAUUGAGCUUGACCCAAGUGAUGGACUUGACCCAAUUGGAUUGGGCUUGAUCCAAAUCAAUUAGAAGACCUUAUUUGAUGAGGAUUAUGAGUCCAAAUAAUCAGAAUUGGAUAAGGAGAAGAAUCCCUAAAUUUUAGGAACCCAUCCUUAUCUUCUUGGAGAAGAAUGACACCUUAAUUUAUCCCCAAUAUUUUCUAUGCCUAUCCUCUUUAUUUUUGGCCAAAAAUUGGCGUGAGAAGAGAGGAGGCAUGAGGCUAUAUUUUUUAAAAAAAUGGCACCUUAAAUAUUUCUAGAAAGAUUUAGAUGAAUUUCCUAAUUUGUAUGGAUUGCAUGGCGCAUGAAAUAGGGUGGCUGCGGCUGAACUUUGAAUGCAUGAAUUCCUAUCUUUUAGGGAUCCAAAAUGCACAAAAUUUGGAUAUGUUUAUCUCCUCUUAGAUACCAAACCACAAGAAUUUUUUGGGAAUUUUAUCAGCCAAAUUAGUUGGCUAAAUUAGGUAUGAGGCGUGGGGUGGUCUUUUGGCUAUAAAAGACCCACAUGCCUUGGGUUCAAGAUAUACCAUAUUUAGAGGUUUCAAAAAAUUCUGAAAAAAUUCUCUGAGGGCCUCCAUCCCUUCUUCUCCUUCUUCCUCGCGUCCAUCCUCCAUCUUCUUGAAGAACAAUCAAAGGUUGAGUGUUUAGAAGGAGAAAGCUUCAGCCAUUGCAACGUUCCUGCGCGAGCUAGCACUCCCGCGGAAGACGAUCUACCUAGGGCUUCGCGUGUACUUCUCAUAGAGGCCAUUCGUGUGCGUGGUUGCAAAGUCAAGGAUCAGAUCCAUAAGUUUCUUCUAUCAUAAAAGGUUGUUGCCCAAGGUGACAAUCCAAGAGGGGGGGGUGAAUUGGUUUCUUCUAAAUUUUAGUGUUUUUAAAAACUUUCGUAAUUAAGUGCGGUGGAUGCUUUCUUAGGUUAUUUGAGUGAGUUAAAUUAAUACAAGAAUAGAAGAUAAAGCAAGGGAAAAUGAAAGCACAAACACAAUGCAAACACACCAAUAUAUAGUGGUUCGGUGCUCUCCUUAGCACCUACGUCCACUCCCCAAGCGUACCCUUGGGAAUUCACUAUAAUCUCACGGAUUACAGUUGGAUUGUUUUUCGGGCUCACAAUACNNNNNNNNNNNNNNNNNNNNNNNNNNNNNNNNNNNNNNNNNNNNNNNNNNNNNNNNNNNNNNNNNNNNNNNNUUUGUUGGUUUUGCGGGCUCACCAACGAACCUUUACAAAGUGUUUAAUAAACAAAAGAAAAGAUUCAAACUCCUAAAUGAGCAUAUGAAACAAUGUGAGCUACAAAGAAGAGUUAGAAAAUAUUUAUCGCUUUGAAGUCGCUUUGCUCUUCUUUGUCAAGGAUGCUUCACUCUACAAGGGGGGAUGGAGCUCUUGAUGCCUCUUUGAAUCUGCUCAAUCCCUUUCUUUGNNNNNNNNNNNNNNNNNNNNNNNNNNNNNNNNNNNNNNNNNNNNNNNNNNNNNNNNNUUCUUUGAUAUUCCACUCAAAAGAUAUUCUCUCUGAUGAAUAGUGCCCCUUUAAAUAGCUUCCCACCUUCUUUGGACAAGCCCCAAUGGUUAGAUUUGAAAAACUAGCCGUUACUCACCUUGGGAAGGACAAAAAGUACAUCUGCAGAACUAGCCGUUACUGUUCAGCCCGUGUUUGGGUCGGCUCAACCUGUCCUUGGGUCGACCCAACUUUGCCUUGGGUCGACUCAAACAUUCCCUGGGUCGACCCUCUCAGAAACCACAGAAACUUCAAUUUCAGCCUUCCUUCAGAUGGGUCGACCCAACCAUUCUUUGGGUCGACUCAAAGUCCACUUGGGUCGACUCAACUUCUUCUUGGGUCGACCCUCUCAGUAAUUCCAAGAACCAUUUUCUGUCUGUCUUUCUGUCUUGCCUUUGGGUCGACCCUCUCAGGGUUUGGGUCGACUCAAGCUUGGGUCGACUCAACCACUGUUUGGGUCGACCCUCUCAGUAAAUCCAGAGAGCAUUCUUCAGUUGUGUUUUGAGGUUCUUGAAGGUUGGGUCGACUCAUGCUUACCUUGGGUCGACCCAACUCACUGUUCAUUUGUGCCAUUUUUGCAGGAGUGUGCCAGAUGAUUUCUUGAUGUGCCGGGGUCGACCCAAUCAACCUAUGGGUCGACUCAAACCACACUUUGCUGCAUUCUCAAGGUUAGAUUCAUCCAAAUGAACAAGGCCAUGUAUUUAUUUUCAAUUAAACAAAUAUACUGAGAGUAAUGAACUUAUAAAUGAAGUAUCAAUUUAACUUAUAGCAUACUNNNNNNNNNNNNNNNNNNNNNNNNNNNNNNNNNNNNNNNNNNNNAUAGGUCGUAUUAAAACUCGAUUUAGAAUAUGGCAAGCAGUGCUUAUAGCUUCAGCCCAAAAGUACUUUGGAAGAUUUGACUCGCACAACAUCGUGCGUGCCAUUUCUGCCAAGGUCCUAUUUUUUCUUUCAAUAAUCCCAUUUUGUUGAGGCGUUCUAGGUGCUGAAAAUUGAUGUGAGAUACCGUUUUCAUUACAAAAUUCUUCAAAAUGUUGAUUUUCAAAUUCAGUUCCAUGAUCACUUCGAAUUGCUAUUAAGGUGCUACGAUUUUAAUCUUGCUCUUUUAAAAAAGAAAAUUAAACGUAGGAUACCCCAAGUAUAGGGUGUAGCAAAGUAAUAUUCUCGGUGAGACCGAGAUCGAAUCCACAGGAAUUUGACAGUGAACAAAAACUAAAGGCUAAAUAAUAUUUGAAUUGACAAAAUAUAACUAAGGCAUCAGGAUUCAGCCUAGCACUUCAUCAUGGUUUUCUUAAAAUCAUCUAUUAUCUCAGUUAAAUAGAUUUAGUUUUAUGGGCAGCAUUACAGUAAUUAUAUUUUAAACUACAGGGAUUUCUAAGCAUCUGUUAUACCCGGUGGAAAUAACAAAUCAAAAAAAAAUAUAUAAGUUUGAAAUAAUUUUUAUAAAUUUAUUGCACCAUAAAUCAAAAAGAAAAACAUUAAAAUCCCAUUGAUGAUUAAAUGAACAACAUGAAGAAAUUGCUAGGCUUUUCCCUAGCCUUAGCUAGAGAAGAUUUAGCUACUCAUAUGAAAUGGAAACAUUUUCAUAAAAAGGAAUUGUAAAGAAUAACUUAAAAUAAACAUAAAUCCCUUUUUCCUUUUUUUUUCUUUGGUUCAGAAAACAGGAUGCUCUGUUUUCUUCUCCCGGUUGCUUCCUCCCUUCCGUGGCCUCUUCUCCUCUCUCGCUCGGCUGGGAAAGAAAUGGAUGUUGGCUUCCCUGGUUCCGUGGCUUCCCCUUGCUUCCUCCUUUUCCUCCACCGUGUGGUUCUCUCCUUCCUCGUCGGCUGAUUUCCCUCCUUUCGUUCGGCUGGAACAAUUGGAAGAGGAGAUGCUCCCUUCUCGCCUCCGUGGUUGCUUGCUCGGCUGCCUUCUUAUAGCAUGUUGAAGAGGCCGGGUGAAACGCGGCUGAGAUGCGGGGUGGAGGGAGUUGCGAAUAUGGGAAGACUCCUCGUGGAUGGAAUUAAUUUGCUGGGAAUGGCUGGAAAAUGAUCGGAUGCAUGGAAUACGUGGAUGGCCGUUGGGGUGUUGAGAAGACUCCUCGGCUGGAAGCUCUAUUCCGAAAUGGAUGAUCCGAUUGCAUGUGCUGGGAGGUCUCGGACAGUUGGAAGAUGCUGGGAAGCUCCUCGGCGUUAGGAGUUUGAACAUUGAAGAAGUUUGAGUUGCAGUCAUUGAUGUUAGAUUUGUGGAUAAGCUGAGAAGAAACGGGGGAGACGGAAGGACUCUGAUGAAUGCUGGGACGUUGCAGACGUUUGGGAAGUUAAGAAGACUCGGCUUGGGACUCUUCUCCUCCGAUGGCUGCUGGCCUCCUCCCUUUUCGUCGCACGCUCCACGCUUGGAUGAGCUGGGAAGAAACAGGGGAAACGGAAAGAUGCUGAUGAGAUGCCAUUUGGAAUUGAAGAGCUGGUUUAGCUUAGGUCUCUUGGGUCUGAUUUAAGUCCCUUGGAUGAGAUGCCAUGAUGCUUGGAAUUGAAGAGCCCGUUUGCAUAUGCAUGGAGGUCCACGGUCGGUUGGGAAAUUGGAAAAUUUCAAAGCCCCCAUGCUGUGGAUGUUUGGAAAAUUUAUUGAGCUUGGGCUGCCAGGCAUUGGGCUCAAAUCCAGAGUUACUGAGUCUCUUGGAUUAAUUUCACUCAAACACAAAUAAAACAUUAAUUAAUUAAUUUUAUUAAUAAAAAUUAACUAUAAUACUAAUUAAGAUAAUAUGAAAAUUAUACUUUUGUACUCUCAUCAUAAGGUGAGCUUCUUUUNNNNNNNNNNNNNNNNNNNNNNNNNNNNNNNNNNNNNNNNNNNNNNNNNNNNNNNNNNNNNNNNNNNNNNNNNNNNNNNNNNNNNNNNNNNNNNNNNNNNNNNNNNNNNNNNNNNNNNNNNNNNNNNNNNNNNNNNNNNNNNNNNNNNNNNNNNNNNNNNNNNNNNNNNNNNNNNNNNNNUAGUUGUUGAUACUAUAUUCUUUGAUUUGAAGGAUGAUUUUGUUUGUUUUCCUAAUGAGCAUGGUCCACAAAUUUUGUCCUUUUCAAAGAUCAAUUUUGGCACAUCUUUUAUUAAUUCCUUCUUGAUUAGUUUUGAUAUUAAUUCCAUACUAGCAUGUCCUAGUCUACGAUGCCAAAGCCAACUUGUUUCAUUUUUCUUUUCUUCAUUAGUAAUUAAACAUAAUCCAUUUUUCUUGCCUAAUUCAUGAAGAUCUACCAUGUAAAUAUUUCUUUGCCUUUGUCCUAUAAGUACAAUGCUAUUAUCUUUAGGAUUUAUGAUUAUGCAUACUGAUGCUUCAAAUGUGACUUUAAACCCUUUAUCACAAAAUUGACUUAUGCUAAGUAGGUUAUGUUUCAAACCGUUAACUAAUAAGACAUUUUCUAUGAAGGUAGAUGGAGUAAUGAAAAUUUUACCCUUUCCAAUGAUAUACCCUUUUCCAUUGUCUCCAUAGGUUACUACUCCACCCUUCUUAGAUUCCAAGAUGACAAAUUGGUCUACGUCACCGGUCAUGUGUCUUGAACAGCCGCUAUCUAGAUACCAUCGUUUAUCCACUUUAUUAGCUGCAAGACACCCCUGCAAUCAAGAUCAAGAAUGAGCUUUAGAUACCCAAACUAUGUUGGGUCCUUUAGGGUUAGUACUUGAU
rnacentral:lncRNA from 1 species